UACGUAGGGGGCAAGCGUUGUCCGGAAUCAUUGGGCGUAAAGCGCGUGUAGGCGGUUCAGUAAGUCUGCUGUGAAAGUCCAGGGCUCAACCCUGGGAUGCCGGUGGAUACUGCUGGGCUAGAGUACGGAAGAGGCGAGUGGAAUUCCUGGUGUAGCGGUGAAAUGCGCAGAUAUCAGGAAGAACACCUAUGGCGAAGGCAGCUCUCUGGGACGGUACUGACGCUGAGACGCGAAAGCGUGGGGAGCGAACAGG
rnacentral:rRNA from 1 species